GUUGCCCGUCCCGGCGAGGCUAAGUGCCAACAGGUACGGAGCCGCAGCGAAAGCGAGUCGGAACACGGCGUCCCUGUCGGGGCGGGCAGACGCGAAACCAGGUGAUCUACCCAUGGGCAGGAUGAAGGACAGGUAACACUGUCUGGAGGUCCGAACCGGUAAGCGUUGAAAAGCUUUCGGAUGACCUGUGGGUAGGAGUGAAAGGCCAAUCAAACCUGGAGAUAGCUCGUACUCCCCGAAAUGCAUUUAGGUGCAGCCUCGGGUGCGAGUACCGUGGAGGUAGAGCGACUGAUAGGAUGCGAGGGCUUCACCGCCUGUCAAGUCCUGACAAACUCCGAAUGCCACGGCACGUUGCCCGGGAGUGAGGGCGCGGG
rnacentral:rRNA from 1 species